rnacentral:rRNA from 1 species
ACGAACGCUGGCGGCACGCUUAACACAUGCAAGUCGAACGAGAGAAGAGAAGCUUGCUUUUCUGAUCUAGUGGCGGACGGGUGAGUAACACGUGAGCAAUCUGCCUUUCAGAGGGGGAUACCGAUUGGAAACGAUCGUUAAUACCGCAUAACAUAAUUGAACCGCAUGAUUUGAUUAUCAAAGAUUUAUCGCUGAAAGAUGAGCUCGCGUCUGAUUAGCUAGUUGGUAAGGUAACGGCUUACCAAGGCGACGAUCAGUAGCCGGACUGAGAGGUUGAUCGGCCACAUUGGGACUGAGACACGGCCCAGACUCCUACGGGAGGCAGCAGUGGGGAAUAUUGCACAAUGGAGGAAACUCUGAUGCAGCGAUGCCGCGUGAGGGAAGAAGGUUUUAGGAUUGUAAACCUCUGUCUUCAGGGACGAAAAAUGACGGUACCUGAGGAGGAAGCUCCGGCUAACUACGUGCCAGCAGCCGCGGUAAUACGUAGGGAGCGAGCGUUGUCCGGAAUUACUGGGUGUAAAGGGAGCGUAGGCGGGAUCGCAAGUCAGAUGUGAAAACUAUGGGCUUAACCCAUAAACUGCAUUUGAAACUGUGGUUCUUGAGUGAAGUAGAGGUAAGCGGAAUUCCUAGUGUAGCGGUGAAAUGCGUAGAUAUUAGGAGGAACAUCAGUGGCGAAGGCGGCUUACUGGGCUUUAACUGACGCCGAGGCUCGAAAGCGUGGGGAGCAAACAGGAUUAGAUACCCUGGUAGUCCACGCCGUAAACGAUGAUUACUAGGUGUGGGGGGACUGACCCCUUCCGUGCCGCAGCAAACGCAAUAAGUAAUCCACCUGGGGAGUACGACCGCAAGGUUGAAACUCAAAGGAAUUGACGGGGGCCCGCACAAGCAGUGGAGUAUGUGGAUUAAUUCGAAGCAACGCGAAGAACCUUACCAGGUCUUGACAUCGUAUGCAUAGCUCAGAGAUGAGUGAAAUCUCUUCGGAGACAUAUAGACAGGUGGUGCAUGGUUGUCGUCAGCUCGUGUCGUGAGAUGUUGGGUUAAGUCCCGCAACGAGCGCAACCCUUACUGUUAGUUGCUACGCAAGAGCACUCUAGCAGGACUGCCGUUGACAAAACGGAGGAAGGUGGGGAUGACGUCAAAUCAUCAUGCCCCUUAUGACCUGGGCCUCACACGUACUACAAUGGCUGUCAACAGAGGGAAGCAAAGCCGCGAGGUGGAGCAAACCCCUAAAAGCAGUCUUAGUUCGGAUUGUAGGCUGCAACCCGCCUACAUGAAGUCGGAAUUGCUAGUAAUCGCAGAUCAGCAUGCUGCGGUGAAUACGUUCCCGGGCCUUGUACACACCGCCCGUCACGCCAUGGGAGUCGGUAACACCCGAAGCCUGUAGUCUAACCGCAAGGAGGACGCAGUCGAAGGUGGGAUUGAUGACUGGGGUG